GGACCUUUAGCUCAGCUGUUAGAGCAGACGGCUCAUAACCGUCCGUCCGUAAGGUUCGAGUCCUACAAGGUCCACCU
rnacentral:tRNA from 1 species